rnacentral:rRNA from 1 species
AAAACUAGCCAGUCUUUUGGGUAUGAAACCCAUUUGGGCGAGAGUAGUACUAGGACGGGUGACCUCCUGGGAAGUCCUCGUGAAAGGGUUUC